rnacentral:tRNA from 1 species
GCAUAAGUAGCUUAGUUGGAUAAAGCGUCGGUCUACGAAACCGGAGAUCGCAGGUUCGAGUCCUGUCUUGUGCA